UGGUGCACACCUCAGGACCCUCAACAUCUGGCAACAUGCAGGAUUCUGAUGACAGCGACUCGGAUGUGGAGUUUGGACCUUCCCACAAAGAACCCAAACUGCCUGCUUGAAGAUGAACACGGAUUCGCAAUAAAAAUCUCCAUUUACAACAAAGGCCAUGAUGAAGAACUUUAUCAUGCACACAGAGAAUAGAGCUCAGUGCUGCUAACUGGGAGAGCAGCUGGAAAACUGGAGGAGAAGAACAGUUGAACACCUAUUAAUACAGACGACUGUAUCAUUUUUCUGCAAGAACCACAACAAGCAAAGACAAUGAUGAGCACUCUGAGUAAACAACGGUCAGACGCUUGAUUAU